CCGGAAUCACUGGGCGUAAAGGGUGCGUAGGUGGCUUAUCAAGCCAGGGGUGAAAGGCAUUGGCUCAACCAAUGUAAGCCUUUGGAACUGAUAGGCUUGAGUGCAGGAGAGGUAAGUGGAAUUCCUAGUGUAGAGGUGAAAUUCGUAGAUAUUAGGAGGAACACCAGUGGCGAAGGCGACUUACUGGACUGUAACUGACACUGAGGCACGAAAGCGUGGGUAGCGAACAGGAUUAGAUACCCCGGUAGUCGUCAGUA
rnacentral:rRNA from 1 species